AGUGAACGCUGGCGGUAGGCCUAACACAUGCAAGUCGAACGGCAGCACAGUAAGAGCUUGCUCUUACGGGUGGCGAGUGGCGGACGGGUGAGGAAUACAUCGGAAUCUACUAUUUCGUGGGGGAUAACGUAGGGACACUUACGCUAAUACCGCAUACGACCUACGGGUGAAAGCAGGGGAUCUUCGGACCUUGCGCGAUUGAAUGAGCCGAUGUCGGAUUAGCUAGUUGGCGGGGUAAAGGCCCACCAAGGCGACGAUCCGUAGCUGGUCUGAGAGGAUGAUCAGCCACACUGGAACUGAGACACGGUCCAGACUCCUACGGGAGGCAGCAGUGGGGAAUAUUGGACAAUGGGCGCAAGCCUGAUCCAGCCAUACCGCGUGGGUGAAGAAGGCCUUCGGGUUGUAAAGCCCUUUUGUUGGGAAAGAAAAGCAGCAGGUUAAUACCCCGCUGUUCUGACGGUACCCAAAGAAUAAGCACCGGCUAACCUCGUG
rnacentral:rRNA from 1 species